UUUAUGGAGAGUUUGAUCCUGGCUCAGGAUGAACGCUGGCGGCGUGCCUAAUACAUGCAAGUCGAGCGAACAGAUAAGGAGCUUGCUCCUUUGACGUUAGCGGCGGACGGGUGAGUAACACGUGGAUAACCUACCUAUAAGACUGGGAUAACUUCGGGAAACCGGAGCUAAUACCGGAUAACAUAUUGAACCGCAUGGUUCAAUAGUGAAAGGCGGCUUUGCUGUCACUUAUAGAUGGAUCCGCGCCGUAUUAGCUAGUUGGUAAGGUAACGGCUUACCAAGGCAACGAUACGUAGCCGACCUGAGAGGGUGAUC
rnacentral:rRNA from 1 species